CCACUCGUCUCCGAUUGCCGACCAACACACGCUCUUUACGUUCGAAUCUCAGAGAGCAGAGCAGGGAGUACAGAGAAGGAAUUCUCGUAUUGAGUAGCAAUUCUCCGUCGAUUUUUCCUCUUUGAAUCUUUGCCGCCCUCUCUGUCAGUGAUCGCAGCCGCAGGCCACCGCCGAACACCACCAGCAUCGCGGCCACUGGAAGUGCUUCGUUCGCCCCUGUUUUCCAGCCAGCGUCUUCGACGUCCUCGGAGAUUGUUCGUUUCUCCUUCCCCAGGUCCGAUCAUCAUCCUCAUCGUCUCCGGUGAUGGCGGGGCCAGCACCUACACUUUCAAGUGACACAUGCUUGGGGGGAGCUGAUGAUCCGACGGAAGCAUGUGAUUCGGGCAAGCGAAGGACUCAGAGUCAAGAGUGCCACAAGCGUCGCUCAAUGGGGAUGGGGAGAACGUCAUGAAUUAGAGGUUUUCAGAGCACAAUGGGCCAAGGAAAUGGCUAACAUAACCUAGCAGUUCUCGAUUUGGAGUUUCAUGAGUACUCUAAAAUGUUUCUAGCAGUAUCGAUUUUGCAGACGAGCUAUGCGGCGAAGUGCAAUGUGGAAAGGGGUCGUGCGUCCUGCUCGCCAGCACUCUAUUUGGAUUCGAAUGCCAGUGCGAAGCGGGUUGGAAGUGGACGCACCUCAACAAUGAAGAUGAUUUCAAGUUCCUUCCCCGUGUCAUCUUAAACUGGGAGCUUACUCUUUUCUAAUCACUCUGUGUUCACAAGGUACCAGGAAUUGUAACAGCAGAUAAACCAAACACUUUGUCUUAAAGCAAGAAAUCAUUUGACU